UACGUAGGUGGCAAGCGUUGUCCGGAUUUAUUGGGCGUAAAGAGCUUGUAGGUGGCUCGUCGCGUCGGGAGUGAAAACCCGCGGCUUAACCGCGGGCCUGCUUUCGAUACGGGCGGGCUAGAGUUCGGCAGGGGAGACUGGAAUUCCUGGUGUAGCGGUGGAAUGCGCAGAUAUCAGGAGGAACACCGGUGGCGAAGGCGGGUCUCUGGGCCGAUACUGACACUGAGAAGCGAAAGCGUGGGGAGCGAACAGG
rnacentral:rRNA from 1 species